UCGGAAGCUAAGCAGGGUCGGGCCUGCUUAGUACUUGGAUGGGAGACCGCCUGGGAAUACCAGGUGCUGUAAGCUU
rnacentral:rRNA from 1 species